GUGUUAACAGAGGGUAUAUUGUACCCUGCCUGGCACAGUGUUACUGGAGUCGCCAGGUGUGUGUGUUAACAGAGGGUAUAUUGUACCCUGCCUGGCACAGUGUUACUGGAGUCACCAGGUGUGUGUGUUAACAGAGGGUAUAUUGUACCCUGCCUGGCACAGUGUUACUGGAGUCACCAGGUGUGUGUGUUAACAGAGGGUAUAUUGUAUCCUGCCUGGCACAGUGUUACUGGAGUCACCAGGUGUGUGUGUUAACAGAGGGUAUAUUGUAUCCUGCCUGGCACAGUGUUACUGGAGUCACCAGGUGUGUGUGUUAACAGAGGGUAUAUUGUACCCUGCCUGGCACAGUGUUACUGGAGUCACCAGGUGUGUGUGUUAACAGAGGGUAUAUUGUACCCUGCCUGGCACAGUGUUACUGGAGUCACCAGGUGUGUGUGUUAACAGAGGGUAUAUUGUACAGAGUAUCACACUGGCUGUUGCUGCUGUUGCACUCUGGGCUCACAUGUUUAAACCUCUUGUCAGGAUGAGGCCCAGCACAAUAUAUCAUGUUCUAAUGUGAUAACACUUUCUUAAAAGGUGCAAGGACUAAUUAACAUUUUAUUGUUGCCAUGGUUGCCAUAUGUUUUACAGAUUGCAUAUGUUGUGCCUGGGAUAUGUCAAACUGUUGCAUGGAUAGUCUUGAUGUAAGUUCAAACACGUUAUUUAUCAUAAUAUAUUUAGGAGAAUGCUAGAGUGAGUUCUGACAUGAGUUCUAAUGUGAGUGAUGUGUGAAUACAAUGUUGUGCAUUUGUCUGACUUACAUCUGUGUACACACUCAGUUUGGCUAAGAUCUGUGCACACCACUGAGUCCUACUUAGAUCUGUGUAUACUGAGUGACUGACUUAGUCUGUGUACACACUGAGUCCUACUGAGAUCUAUGUACACACUGAGUCCUACUUAGAUCUGUGUACAUAAUGAGUUUGACUUAGGUCUGUGUACACACUGAGUCCUGUGUAAACCCAUUGCGUCUUGCUAUUAUCUGUGCAAUUGAGUCUUUAAAUCAGUGAGUGAGUUAGUGAGUGAGUGAGGUGCUUUCUUUGGGAACCAAUCAGUUCAUGUAUAUUCUUGGUGAUUCCACAGUUCUAGAUUGGCCUCCAUGUGAGUCUUGUACUAGUGUAUUUGGUAUGCACAUGUUUAUAUAGCAGUCAGCACAGAACCAAGCAGCAUCUCUAGUAGCUGCACACAAAUGGGGAGACUUUGUAGGGCAUUGAAUUCUGAAGAACAGUUAGUUACAUGAUGUAAGGAACCAGGAAGUGUACAGGUUAUCAAUCCACCGUCAGGGAUCACAACAUGAUUGUCCAUAGCCUGGGGACCACACAGUCUGCCAUCUAUUCAUGCCGUAACAUGUCAGUAACACAGGUGAUAUCUCCAUCAGAUCAUGACGGGAAGUAACACAGGUGAUAUCUCCAUCAGAUCAUGACAGGAAGUAACACAGGUGAUAUCUGCAUCAGAUCAUGACAGGAAGUAACACAGGUGAUAUCUCCAUCAGAUCAUGACAGGAAGUAACACAGGUGAUAUCUCCAUCAGAUCAUGGCAGGAAGUAACACAGGUGAUAUCUCCAGCAGAUCAUGACGGGAAGUAACAAAGGUGAUAUCUCCAUCAGAUCAUGACAGGAAGUAACAGGUGAUAUCUCCAUCAGAUCAUGACGGGAAGUAACACAGGUGAUAUCCCCAGCAGAUCAUGACGGGAAGUAACACAGGUGAUAUCCCCAUCAGAUCUUGUCAUGAACUAACACAGGUGAUAUCCCCAGCAGAUCAUGACGGGAAGUAACACAAUCUCCAUGAUAUUGUCGCAUGAUGUAUCUGACGGACAGACCUCCCGAGGUCCUCACUGGUUGCACAAAAGGAGGUUUUUGUCAUGUUGUUAGUGGUAAACAGCUGUUUGUCACACAAGCUCAAAUUUUGAUUUGCACAUGUAAAAUGUGAAGCGAUAUCCUUUGUUAUUUCCUGAUUGCCACUGUUACAUCUCACCUGGGUUAUCAAGUGUUUGCUUGUACCCAGCCUGGCUGAUGACAGAAAUGGCACAGAAUGCAUGGAGGUACUAUGUGUGAUACUUGACAGCUGAGUUGUGUUUCUGAUGAGUUUUCCAUCUCAGUGAACCAAAUCCAUCAUCUGUUAUAAGUACUUUAUCAAUUACAUGUUCAAUCUUUUCAUGUUGAUGAUUUUUCCACUGCGGUCAACAAUUUCUGUUUAGAUAUAUUGUUUGAAGAAUGAUCCUCCAGAUACUGUUUAGUGUACCACUGCUUCCAAAUAAGAUCAUGGAUUGAUAAAUAGAACAUUGAAUCUGCCCGUACAACUUCAUUAUACGUCAGCAUAUUGGUUUUUUUAUAUACUGUUCAAUGUUUAUGGGGAUAUUCUGCGUGUCAAGGUCAAAACUGAAUGUGACCGGUUGAUUUAAGAUAUAGUAUACAUUAUUGCCACUGAAGUGCUACAUCUCCAGUUAUGUUUCUAAUGAAACUAAAGAGGAAUUCACAUUUAUUGUAGCAUGAAAGAGCAAGUAAACUGACAAAAAUGAC